GGCCCCGCCGCCGCUGCUGACCGCGCUUCCGUCCGUUUCCCGGCGGCGGGCGGGCCUCGCUCUACGCCCGGACCCGGGAGCCGGGCCAGCGCCGUGUGCUCCGCGCCGCCUGCAGCGGGGAACAUUACCUCCUGCUGCGUGUCGUCCAGCCCUAAGCUCCGGAGGAAUGCACACUCCCGGCUGGAAUCCUACCGGCCCGACGCCGACCUGAGCCGCGAGGACACGGGCUGCAACCUGCAGCACAUCAAGUGACCGGGAGAACGUCGACGACAAAUGACCAUGGAAAUAAUUAAAUGUCAGCAGGAUGGAAGCGUAACAGACUCUGUAGCAGAGAGAGCACCUGCACACAUGCAGUCCCAGACUGGUCAAAACCCAGUCCCUACUUGAGCUCAGGUUUCUGUAGCUGGAUCAGGCACCGGAAGAGGCUCCCCCGCUCUGACUCUAGUGCAGUUACCUUCGGGCCAGACUGUCCACGUCCAGGGAGUAAUUCAGACACCACAGUCAUCCGUUAUCCAGUCACCACACAUACAAACU